rnacentral:antisense_RNA from 1 species
GGGACGUUGGAGGGGCGGCCGCAUGGAGUAAGUACUGUCUCUGGCCACCCAGCAGAGCCAGUGACAGUAGCGUCAUGGUAGGCAGGCAGGCGUAUCAGGUUUCAGAGGAUGCGGCUGGGAACGGGAGUAGAGGUGAGGGGACGUUGCAUCUGUCGCGGUGUGUAUCUUUUGGGGGUUCAGCGCCACCAGCGACCUGGGCCUCAUUCAUCGCGCUUACAUUUCUCCACCUCAUUUGAAGAACGAGCUUGGUAGCCCACGGAGCUGAGGUAUAUGAGCUCCCUGAAAGCACAAAGCAGUUAUUUCAAUCUUCAGAUCAUUCAGAGAUUAUGAAGGCACAAACCCUGCCUUCAAUUUGCUUAUAGUCAAGUGGAGCAGACACAAGUCAAUGAUGGCAGUAUAGCCACUUAAGUAAUCUAAAAGAGACUUAUCAGCAGGUUGCAGGUGAACAUGGCCUUGAGGUAAAUCUGUCCCUUGCUGAAUACAGUUUCAGUAGAUUGUUUAUAGUAGUUUCAGGAAUUGAGAUUUUUUACAAAAAUACAAAAGUUUUGCUUGGUUCUGUUCUAGAUGUUUUUCUUCUAAAUAAAUGAGAAAGAUGUUUCAACAAAGGCUCUUUAUGCUGAAUAAUUGUGAUGCUUGAAGUUGCUAAUCUGCUUUAAGUGGAUUUUAAAUGUCAGACAAUUCUAGACAGUUUUUUCUUGGUCAAAUAAAAAUUUAAUUAAAACUUUA